UCAGAUGAGCCUAGGUCGGAUUAGCUAGUAAGUGAGGUAAUGGCUCACCUAAGCGACGAUCCGUAACUGGUCUGAGAGGAUGAUCAGUCACACUGGAACUGAGACACGGUCCAGACUCCUACGGGAGGCAGCAGUGGGGAAUAUUGGACAAUGGGCGAAAGCCUGAUCCAGCCAUGCCGCGUGUGUGAAGAAGGUCUUCGGAUUGUAAAGCACUUUAAGUUGGGAGGAAGGGCAGUAAGUUAAUACCUUGCUGUUUUGACGUUACCAACAGAAUAAGCACCGGCUAACUUCGUGCCAACAGCCGCGGUAAUACUAAGGGUGCAAGCGUUAAUCGGAAUUACUGGGCGUAAAGCGCGCGUAGGUGGUUCAGCAAG
rnacentral:rRNA from 1 species